rnacentral:tRNA from 1 species
CUUGUAGCUUAGCUGGAUAAAGCGUUCGGCUACGAACCGGAAGAUCGGGGGUUCGAAUCCCUCCAGGCG